rnacentral:tRNA from 1 species
GGGGUCGUAGCUCAGCUGGGAGAGCAUCUGCCUUGCACGCAGAGGGUCGGGAGUUCGAAUCUCCCCGGCUCCACCA